GUGGGGAAUAUUGGUCAAUGGACGCAAGUCUGAACCAGCCAAGUAGCGUGCAGGAUGACGGCCCUAUGGGUUGUAAACUGCUUUUAUACAGGGAUAAAGUCAGUUACGUGUAACUGUUUGUAGGUACUGUAUGAAUAAGGACCGGCUAAUUCCGUGCCAGCAGCCGCGGUAAUACGGAAGGUCCAGGCGUUAUCCGGAUUUAUUGGGUUUAAAGGGAGCGCAGGCUGAUGAUUAAGCGUGACGUGAAAUGUAGCCGCUCAACGGCUGAACUGCGUCGCGAACUGGUUAUCUUGAGUGAGUUCGAUGUUGGCGGAAUUCGUGGUGUAGCGGUGAAAUGCUUAGAUAUCACGAAGAACUCCGAUUGCGAAGGCAGCCAACAAGGCCUUUACUGACGCUAAAGCUCGAAGGUGCGGGUAUCGAACAGG
rnacentral:rRNA from 1 species